GUCCAUGGCCAGGCCACUCUGAACAAGCCUGAUCCUGUCUCAUCUCGGAAGCUAAGCAGGGUCGGGCCUGCUUAGUACUUGGAUGGGAGACCACUUAUGAAGACCACUUACGUGCUGUAGGUG
rnacentral:rRNA from 1 species